UACGUAGGGGGCUAGCGUUGUCCGGAAUCAUUGGGCGUAAAGAGCGCGUAGGCGGCCAGAUAAGUCCGGUGUGAAAGUCACAGGCUCAACCUGUGAAUGCCGCUGGAAACUGUCUGGCUAGAGUCCGGGAGGGGCGAGUGGAAUUCCUGGUGUAGCGGUGAAAUGCGCAGAUAUCAGGAGGAACACCGGUGGCGAAGGCGGAUCUCUGGGCCGUAACUGACGCUGAGGAGCGAAAGCAUGGGGAGCGAACAGG
rnacentral:rRNA from 1 species